CUGACGGAGGAUCAUUG
rnacentral:rRNA from 1 species